rnacentral:lncRNA from 1 species
CGGCGCUCUGGUUACCGCCGAGAUCUCAGCCGGCGCUCCGGUCACCGCCGCGCUCUCCUCAGCCGGCGCUCCGGUUACCGCCGCGAUCUCCUCAGCCGGCGCUCCGGUCUCCGCCGUGAUCUUAGCCGGCGCUCCGGUCACCGCCGCGCUCUCCUCAGCCGGCGCUCCGGUUACCGCCGAGAUCUCAGCCGGCGCUCCUGUCUCCGCUGAGCUCUCCUCAGUCCGCAGCCCUCACAGCCCCUCAGCGCUCCCGGCUCCCGCCGACCGGGCAGCGCGAGAAGGGCGAUCGUCGGCGCGCCGAGAUGGGGAAACUGAGACUGAGGUUA